UCAAAUAAGAAAACAGUUCAAUUUAGAAUACACAUGGGAUUCCAUUAAAAUCUUAAAUUAAAAAUAACAUGUUCAUAGCAGAUAAAAUCAUAAUCUACAAAAUAUUCAACAUCAAUAAAAGAUAGAAGAUAAAUAAGAGUUUAGAGAAGAAAAAAGGCUCCCACAUGUCUUCUAACUCUGGGUUUCAUCAAUCUCUAAUCUCCAUCGCUGAUGAUAUCUUGUUUGCACUUGAACUUGGAAUUUAAUGGUAGAGGAUUAGCCUCACAUGGCGUUCAUUGGCCUUUCCCCG
rnacentral:lncRNA from 1 species